GCACCCGUAGCUCAGCUGGAUAGAGCGCUGCCCUCCGAAGGCAGAGGUCGUGAGUUCGAAUCUCGCCGGGUGCG
rfam:Pelagibacterium sp. SCN 63-126 ABS74_C0016, whole genome shotgun sequence.